rnacentral:rRNA from 1 species
UCCUUCGGGGGGGCAGCAGUAGGGGAAUCUUCCGCAAUGGGACGAAAAUUCUGACGGAGCCAACGCCGCGUGAGUGAUGAAGGUUUUCGGGAUCGUAAAAACUCUGUUAUUAGGGAAGAACAAAAGGGGUAAGUAACUGUGCACAUCUUGACGGUACCUAAUCAGAAAGCCACGGCUAACUACGUGCCAGCAGCCGCGGUAAUACGUAGGUGGCAAGCGUUUAUCCGGAAUUAUUGGGCGUAAAAGCGCGCGUAGGCGGUUUCUUAAGUUUGAUGUGAAAGCCCACGGCUCAACCGUGGAAGGGUCAUUGGAAACUGGGGAAACUUUGGAAGAGGAAAAAGGAU